rnacentral:rRNA from 1 species
UAUGAAUAGUAAAUUUGUAAUCUUAGUAUUAAUAGUUAUGAUCUUUAAAUUUAAAGAAUUUGGCGGUAAUUUAGUCUGUUCAGAGGAAUCUGCCCUAUAAUUGAUAACCCACGAUAAAUUUUACUUUAUCUGGGCUUGUAUAUCGCUGUCAUUGAAUGUCUUAUUAGAGGAUUUUCGUUAAUCAUUAAUAUGAAAGAUGUCAGGUCAAGGUGCAGCUAUGGUAAAGAAGAGGUGGAUUACAUUUAAUGUAUUUAUGGAUGAGUUUAUGGAAAUAACUUUGAAAUUGGAUUUGAAAGUAACUUCUAUUAUAAUAUAGAGUUGAUUUAGCUCUAAAUUAUGC